UGGGGAUUAUUGCACAAUGGGCGCAAGCCUGAUGCAGCCAUGCUGCGUGUGUGAAGAAGGCCUUCGGGAUGUAAAGCACUUUCAGCGGGGAGGAAGGCGUUAAGGUUAAUAACCUUGGCGAUUGACGUUACCCGCAGAAGAAGCACCGGCUAACUCCGUGCCAGCAGCCGCGGUAAUACGGAGGGUGCAAGCGUUAAUCGGAAUUACUGGGCGUAAAGCGCACGCAGGCGGUCUGUCAAGUCGGAUGUGAAAUCCCCGGGCUCAACCUGGGAACUGCAUUCGAAGCUGGCAGGCUAGAGUCUUGUAGAGGGAGGUAGAAUUCCAGGUGUAGCGGUGAAAUGCGUAGAGAGCUGGAGGAAUACCGGUGGCGAAGGCGGCCCCCUGGACGAAGACUGACGCUCAGGUGCGAAAGCGUGGGUAGCAAACAGG
rnacentral:rRNA from 1 species